rnacentral:rRNA from 1 species
UUCUACGGGAGGCAGCAGUGAGGAAUAUUGGUCAAUGGGGGGAACCCUGAACCAGCCAAGUAGCGUGGAGGAUGACGGCCCUACGGGUUGUAAACUCCUUUUAUGCGGGGGUAAUGUACGCCACGUGUGGUGUAUUGCAAGUACCGCAUGAAUAAGCAUCGGCUAACUCCGUGCCAGCAGCCGCGGUAAUACGGAGGAUGCGAGCGUUAUCCGGAUUUAUUGGGUUUAAAGGGAGCGUAGGCGGGCUGUUAAGUCAGCGGUAAAAUCGUACGGCUCAACCGUGCCGUGCCGUUGAAACUGGCAGUCUUGAGAGUACAAGAGGCGGAUGGAAUUCAGGGUGUAGCGGUGAAAUGCUUAGAUAUCCUGAAGAACUCCGAUUGCGAAGGCAGUCCGCUGGGGUACAUCUGACGCUGAUGCUCGAAGGUGCGGGAAUCAAACAGGAUUAGAUACCCUGGUAGUCC